UACAGAGGGUGCGAGCGUUGUCCGGAAUUAUUGGGCGUAAAGGGUGCGUAGGUGGGUCUGUAAGUCAGUGGUGAAAUCUCCGAGCUUAACUCGGAAACUGCCAUUGAUACUAUAGGUCUUGAAUUAUCUGGAGGUAAGCGGAAUAUGUCAUGUAGCGGUGAAAUGCUUAGAUAUGACAUAGAACACCAAUUGCGAAGGCAGCUUACUACGGAUUGAUUGACACUGAGGCACGAAAGCGUGGGGAGCAAACAGG
rnacentral:rRNA from 1 species